ensembl:lncRNA
UUUUUUUUUUUUUUUAGGGCCGCACCCGAGGAAUAUGGAGGUUCCCAGGCUAGGGGUAGAAUGGGACCGACAGCGGCCGGCCUACGCCAGAGCCACAGCAACUUGGGUUCCGAGCCACAUCUUCGACUUACACCACAGCUCACAGCAACGCCGGAUCCUUAACCCACUGAGCAAGGCCAGGGAUUGAACCCGCAACCUCAGGGUUCCUAGUUGGGUUCAUUAACCACUGAACCAUGAGGUGAACUCCUAACUCUUUAAAAAAAAAAAAAAAAGUAUCAUACAUCAAGUAUAUAUUACACAUUUGGUAUGUACCCAAUAUUUCUUGAUUCUGGGAGAUGACUUGACAUUAAUUCCCAAUCUAAGAAAUUCAAUUUACUCCAACAUACACUUACUACUUAUCUAAAGCUGGGCAGGGACAGAGGUGAGGGCUGAUUUCUCAUAUUUUUUAAUAGAAUUUUGAUUCUGGAUCAAGUGAAUGCAUUACCUAUUCAGAAAAUAAAAUGGGAAAAAAUAAAUAAAUCGGCCUAACAAAAGCUACGAGUACAAAGUUUUCAUACAAGCUCUUCUGUGAAUUCCUCGGGACGGAGAGAUUUCAAUAGAGAAGCAAGAUUUUGUUUUUUUAUUGUUUUUCACCCUGUCGAAAACCCACUAUGCAGAGACAAAAAUGCCAGAUGUAUUCCACAAGCAUUGCACUCCAUGGAAUACUUGCCAGACUCUCAUUUCAGCAGCGAGACGUGAGAGACAGCGUCUCGGGGAUGCAUAAUGAAACCCAGGCCAUCGGAGGACGGGGUCGCUGUGAGCGCACGUGGGCCAGGACUGGCGGGGAGAGGGGACCUUGGCUGACAGGGCUCAUCGGACCGCAUGGACCUGCCGCCCUCUGAUCAGGUCUGAGCUCCGGCCAUGUCUGGGUCAGAGGCAGCAUCCCUACCGCUCUUUUUGGCUGUGUCGCAAAACAAAACUAAAUUCUGCCUUUCAGGCGCCCACGGCUCCGAGCGGCAGGCCUGCUCUAUCCUGCUCUGAUGCAGGGUUUCUCCAAGGAGCCCCGGAGCCCAUCCUCCUCCCACGCCCACCCCUGUCCCCCCAACGGGGCCACUGGUUUGGUCCUUGCCGUCUGGUUUUCUCAUUUUCCCGGGUGAGCACCUUCCUCCCUGGCUGUCUUAUGCCUGACUUGCCGUGGGGGUCCCGUGGCGGGUCCUCUUAUCUUCUGCUUGUCCCCCGCCCAGAAACCGCAGCCUCCGCCUUCCCCUGCUGAGGGCUGGCCCAGGACACUCCCCGCCCCACAGGCCUCAGGAUGAACCCGGAGGAGAGGCAGCUGCAGAAGCUGUGCCAAUCCGUCGUCGCAGAAGAGGAGACUGAGGCCAGGCACAUAUGUGACAUACCUGCUCGCAAAUGCCCAGGGAACAGGCCCCUCAAACUCCAUGGCUUUCGUUAUUCUUCUUACACUCACGACACAACAUGGGACAAAUUCUAAAACCUAAUGGGAUCCUGAGGGUUGGUCUGGUUCGGGGAGGGCGGAGGGAGGCUCGACGGCUAAAAUGCUGACGUCCCUGCCCAGUUUGCUGUCACUGUCCCACUGCUCUGGCUGCAGCACAGGAGACAGGGAGAACAGACCCGCCAAGGCUCCCGUGUUGACAGUGGAGAGAGAUCUCCCGGGGGCGCAGCUGGCAACCUGUUAACUGGAACCAGGGACCCAUGAGAGGAGCAAGGCGGAUGGAGGGCAAGGGCCACAGGCGAAUAAAAAUGAAGUUAAAAAUGCCGCUUCUCAGGUCCAGCAGCCACGUACAUUGGGCUAGUGACAACGGUGAAGGUGCAGAUACAGGCCGUUCCAUUAUUCCACGUCCUACAGAACAGCGGGGGUCUAGAGGGACCCUCCAGGUUCUGGGGGGGCUACACGAUGAACUGUUUACAAAGCAGACACGGAUGAUCAGAUGACCAGAGUCUGCCCAAAUCGAACCACAAGGCGGGGAGAGCUGAGAUCUGAAUCUGGACCUGGAAAACGAACUCCAUAGAGCCAACAAUUGCCUCUUUCCCGAGCUCCGGUUUAAGGCACUUGACUUUCUCCAGGAAACAGGAGGCAAAGCCAUGGGCUAAAAAUGAGGCAGGAGCAAGAAAAAAAUGUGUUUUAAUCUCAAAAAUAAUUAUGCCACAGCCAAAAGGAGGGAUUCUGAUCUCAUCUAUGCUGGUAAAUGUUUUCCUCCUAAAGCAUUUAUUUCAGAAAUAAGCCUUUAAUUUGAAUACUCUGAGGAGCCAAAAUUUCUGUCUGUUGAAAAUGUUUAUUUCUAUUGUUUGGCAGGAAUCAAUUUGUUAGGGCACCAGCCACUCUGGCAAAGGUUCCCUUCCACUUCUCCGGGAAAACACUCGGCGGCCAAGCCAUCCACCGCCCUGCAGCUCGCUGGCUCUGUGCUGGGGCUGUCCCGGCCACAAGCAUCUGCCGGUGCUGACACGCACUGUGGACCAAGCCCUGUGCGGGAGCUGGGAUAGAUGCUUUGGGGUUAUUAGGAGUAUACCCUGGGCUUGGGGGGCAACUGGCUGAGUGUGCUUUCCCAAAGCCGAGUACAUUGUCUUUAAUUAUUUUCCAAGUGGCAGAAGAGCUGGGACCCAAUGCUGGGAGAUGUUUCACAGAGCCCUGGUCUCUUCUGGCAUCAGUGAAGUCUGGGAAGCCCGCAGCAGAAUUUCAGGAAGACCCAGCUCCUUCCAGGCCACAAGAAUCUGGACAGGUCACCAGAUGCCCUGAGUCUUGGUUUUCUCAUCUAUAAAAUAUGCCACCUACCCUGGUUGCAGGAAAACGGCAUGACAUCAAGAAUAAGAAAAAGUCUUCUAUGUUAAAAGAAGUUCCAUAGAAAUAGUAGUUCUUAUUAUCUCCUGCAAGGAUAAAGUAUCCUCCGGUUUCCUCACUUGGCUCCCUUUUUUAUAUACCACGGGGGUGGAGGGGGGGCUUAAGAGGCAGAUCAUGAAAGUUAAAAGCUAUCACAGUUAUAGGUGAAGUGCUAAUAACUUCAUUUUGAAACUGUCAGGUUUGGGUUUUUUUAAAUCACAGCUGUGGCUUGCACCAGAGCUCUACCUGUAGCUGCGUUCCCUUCUCACAUUUUAAUUAGCAAAUAAAAACUCCAGAAAGCUCCCAAGAUGCUUUUGCCUGGAAUUUAUAAGUAAAAGUUGAAAGAUGCCAAGGGGCUCCUGGGGAGAACCGAACCCUGAACAGACAUCUAUCAACAACUCGGAGCAGGUUCGUCGAAACAGCCUGGGUGGGGCCAAGAGAUGCCACCCCGGAGCCGGCUUUGAUUUUUAUCUUUGCAGUUCAUUUUCAAGAUUUUUGGUGCCGUGUUCCGCAAGCAUCGUUUACAACAUCCUGCCAUCGGCUGGGCGCUGCUGCCAGCCAGAUGGCCGGGCAGAAUGACUCUCGUGUGGCAGAGAAAGCGAAUGUCUCCUGUGAUUCCUUCGCCCCCUCCUGGCACCUGCGCCGCUGGCCGCUAUCAGGAAACCUGGGAGCUGGGCACCAAGAGGUGACCUCCCCCAGGGGCUCCUGGUGCCCAGAGCAGAGAUGUGAUGAUAAAGGGGCCAUUGAAAUCCUCAGAGAGUUUCCCCACUGGCUAUGCUGGGGGGACAUCCAGGGAAUACAAAAGGGCUGCCCUGGAAGCGCUGCUGCCAGUCUGCCCACUCGGGGCACCAGAAUGGCGGCCCCACAUGCCAGCCUCACUCCAUUCUGUCCGGGGAGCUUUCCAAAAAAAAAAAAGUGGAGGGGCACUUUAACGCUGACUUCAGGAAGCCAGUUCCAGAGCUAUUCCUCCCAAUGAUCUAAACUCACAUGAAAAGGUGAGGACACAGGACUGAUAAUUACAAGCCAGGGCUACGUCACGGGCUCCGAUGCUCGUUCCCAGGCAGCCCCUCGCCAGUGCAGCCAGCACCCUCCCAGCUCUCACCCAGUGGGGACGGCCCCCUCUUCACCUUGACUCCAGGGCAGGAGGGAGUAGAAGGGAGCUUAGUUCAGAAAGUUAAUGCCAAUCAACAAAGCGUCCUGAUCUCUCUGGGACCUCUCCAAGUUCAGGGUCUCGUCACCUGUUUUUCUCUAACUCUAGAUGUUACGCCUUAACUGCACAGACAUCAAGAAUUAUUUUUCCUUUUUACGGCCGCACACGUGGCCUAUGGAAGUUCUUGGGCCAGGGGUCCAAUAGGAGCUACAGCUGCAGGCCGACGUCACAGCCACAGCCACGCAGGACGUGAGAUGCAUCUGUGACCUUACACCACAGCCUGCGGCAACCCUGGAUCUUUUAAUCCACUGAGCAAGGCCAGGAAUCGAACCUGCAUCCUCAUGGACACUAUGUCAGGUUCUUAAUCCGCUGAGCCACAACAGGAAUUCCGAGAAGAGGAUUUUCAAACUGAAUAAAAUGAGGCCUCUUGUUCUGGCCCAGGAACGACAUGACAUGUCUCUGUAGCCUCCUUUCUUGGUUCUCUAUGUGACUCCUUAGCGGGGAAGGGCGGGCGAGGAGCCUGAUCUGGUUUGGGGGCGAAAGGCAGGUCCCGGGAGAGUGUGAUUUAUAAGAGGACACCCCCUCCACUGCCCCCCCCCGGCAAUACCCGUCAGAGGCCUGGACCCCAGGACACGGCCCGUAUAGCAUCAGGAAGCCAGCGCUGGCCCAGCAGCCUCGGUUACACGCUCUGGCUACUUCUCUGCCCACAUCAUUCCAUCACAGGCAGGAAGCCACGGGCAGCGCUGCACCAGCAGCCGCCCGUGUCUGCUCCGCCAGCACACGUUGGAUUCUGCCAGGCUGACAGAAACAGACAGGAAAUAUUGCCACAGCACCGAAACGAUAACCAAGAUCCUCCACCAUCGAAAACAAACAACUACGUUGCACAUGCACCACUUACUCAUUCUGGAAAGCGCACCCCUGAAUCUACUCCAUCAAGAUUUUCAACAAGAACGGAGACAAAAGAGGAUUUCCUGCUUUACUCCCGGCUAUGACCCCGCCCCCAAGGGUCUGCUUAAGGGCUUCCCCUGGGUUUCUACACCCCUGUGUUAAGCUGAAGGACCCGCCCAUGAUCACCGAGGGCAGAGGCACAGCGCCCACGGCUGCAGCGGGAACACCUGACCAGGGAGGUCCAGCGAAUCACGGGCUAACCAGAAAGAAUCCGCCUGCAUCCCAGAGGCUCUCAGAAGAAGGGAUGCGACCGGCGCGGCCGGAUCAGGUGUGCACAUCUGUGUGAAACGAGGUCCAGAGAAAACCAAAGGCCCCUCGCCCUGGAACAGCUCCUCGGCCCACAUGCCCCAGGUCACUGCCCCUGCCGCCAGCAGGCCCCUCGGCCAACUUCUCCCCGCGGCGAGGCAGCCCGAGCUCCUCCUGACAGGGCCAGGUGGGCACAGAGGGGCAACAAACCGCCCCGGUGCCCGGAGCUCACAACUGAAUCAGACAACCAGAUGCUGCGAGGCGGCUGCGCCAGGGGCGGGCGGGCCCGCGAGGCAGAGGGAGGUUUCGCUGCGGGGAAGAUCGGGGAAGGCCUCAUGGGAAAGGGGCAGGAGGCGCCCCAAAGGAUGGGUGACAUCUCAUCCCAGCACAGCCGUCACACCCGCUCCACCAAGGAGCAAGGACCCCGAGGCUCGAGGUGAAGGGACUUGCCUGAGACCACACAUUCACAAGUGGCAUGACAGAGGCCAGGUUUCCUGAGUCUAACGCUGCUCCCUCCUCUCCGGAGAAGGCUCUCCGAAUGCAGCAGGCUUGGGGCUGGAGAGGGGACAUGGGCUCUGGGGGCACGAGGGGAAAGCCUGGGGGUCCUUCCUCUUCUGAAGCUCCGCGAUGCUGUCCUAACGGUGGAACUGGGGACAUGGGUCUUCCAAUCCCCCCGUCCUUUCCUGCCACCACCCCCGCUUCCCGGGGUGGGGGCAGAGCCCUCAGCUGACUGGGGAACAAAGGCAAGAUGGGGGGGUGUCUGAGCGCCAGGUAUCUGCUGGGUCACUAAGAAAGGCAGGGACCGACAAUGUCGGAGCCUUGAAUGUGCAUCAGAUGCUGUGCUGAGUCCACGUGUCGUCGACUCUCGGGGUUACCGACAAGGUCACUGCCGUUCUUUACAAAGAUGGUUCUGGCCGGGAUGGAAGAAUGGAUCGGAUGGAGAGGCUAAGAGCAGGUCACACAGUUCAGCAAAGAAGCCACGGGGCGAGAGAGGUCCAGCCCGGGCACCCUGUAAAAUCUGCAGUGAGAUCAGGAAAAAGAAACAAGAACGGCCCUCAAAGAAUCCUGAAUCCGCUUCAGUGGAUAAAGUAAUACGGAAGCAGCCACAAGAAGGGAAAAUCGGAUCUACUAAAAUGGAAUUACGAGCCUGGCAUUGAAACGCGGUGGGGACUUUCUUCAGCCGGGCUGCUGCCAGCUUCUGUCUCGUCCCCUGCUUAACAUGCUCCCAGGGGCCCCAGAGCCAAUCAGCAUCGGACCUGUCAAAUCUGACGGCUGGAAUAAAAAUGGAAAGGCCGAGUGGCAGCCGUAACAUGGAAUUUCCUUGUUUUUAUUAGUUUAAGGCUCUUAAAGAGUAACUUUUACAUUGGGGAAAACUUCUCAAAUAUGUACUACUUGCAACUUAGAUCCAGUUACCUCUCACAUGUUUUCAAUCAUUCUGCUUGCCAAUUUCACUAGUUAUCAAAAGACAUUUGUGGUUUAAAGCAGGGGAACGGGCUUCCCCCUCCCGGCACAUCUGCCCUUGCCGCGGUGACCUCACCCCGCUGGAUCCCGGGCCCCGGCUGGCUGCCAGCAGGCCCGAUGGGGCAGACGGGGGUGUGCUACUGGGCCUCACAGCUGGAGGGAGGCGGAGGGAUGCCUUUGCAGCGCCGGUACUACAGAGACACCUGGGUAAGGAUUUAAAAAAAAAAAAAAAAACCAAAACUAUUGAUAAAAUCCAGCUUUUUUGCAUUACUGCUGCUACUGAAAUGCAUCCAGGAACACGAGUUUCUCAUGAAUCACUCAUGUAUUAAAAUAAACGUGGUUCAGAGAUCCCUGGUGGCCCAGUGGUUAAGGACCUGGUGUUGUCGCUGCUGUGACUCGGGUUUGAUCCUGGCCUGGGAACCAGCACAUGCCAUGGACGCGACCGUAAGUGAAUGAAUGAAUGAACCUGUGAAUGAAUGAAUAAAUAAAUAACGCGGUUCCUCAGCUUUCAAUUCUUACAGCUAAACCUACUGAAAUCUGGGGACGGAAAGGGGCUGGUCACGCUCCCGUCUGGCUGUGAUUCAACACUGAAGCCGGACAUGAAAAGAGCCACGUGUUUACAAUACCCCACAUGCAAGCCUUAAAGCAGCGAAAACUAAGGAAGCCUAACGCCCUGAAGUGUCCUCGUUAACAAAGAGCAGAACCCCCAGGUUCUAAUGAGGAGCCUCUUGCUGUGUUAACCCAACACCCCAGGAGUGGCCAAAGCUUCCAGGUGUCAAACCACAGGUCCGAUAUCGAAGGAUCCGGAGCUCCGUGCUGUCACUGAGAGCGGAGAUGGGCAGGGGACGUGGCACACCCCACUGAAAACAACAUGAAGCCCACACAGGUGUCCUAAACAGUUCACUUGAUAUACAUUCAGAGGAAGACCUAAGACGACAAGGGGCGACGGGCCCCCGGAUGCAAGGAGGCUGCCCCGUGCUGCCACAUACUCCACGCGGGUGCCAUGCUGUGUGUCCAGGUCGGCUCAGAGGCCCCGCGGAGCAGGUGCAUCUGAUUCUUCACGUGGACCGAAGGCUGGCCUUAGGCGUAAAGGACAAUCCUGACCGCACGUGGCUGUUGCGGGUGGGUCAGCGAAUGGUCUGGGCACUUCUGGUGGGGACAUGCACUUACUCCUAAAGACACAGAGGCAAACAGACCCUCUGAAAUGAAAAGCCGCACAUUCAGUUUGCUAGGGACGGGCUCCAAAUUUCCGGCACAAUUAUUUUUAAUCGAGCUGAUUUUUUUUUUUCUCUCUCUCCCAUUUGAAACCUGUUAAUUCCAUGACUGAGAAUUCAUCAAGUUUCAGACGGGCAUUAAUUUUAGCAACUGCUUUAUACCAAAAAUAUUAGUAGACGUGGCUGUGUAAGUGGCCUCGCUUCACACACUGUCACUGGAAAGUCUGUGUGUUCGAGUUCCCUUCACUUCGUGGGGUUCACGCGGACGGGGAGCCCUCUAAAGUUGAACUUGCUCCCAAGGGACUCGCAGAGCUGGGGGAGCCACGCUAGCAAUCUGGUCGCUGGCCCUUUGCACACGAAGCUGACUGUGGUUAUGGCGACCCCCGCCCCCCCAGGGAGGGGCUGUCACAGCACACACACACUCUCAUCUUUCAACAGGACUGCGUGGAUGACACACCUGCUCUGGGUGGGGACUGUCGCCCCCUUCUCCCGGUGCCUGCAGGCCCUUAAGCUACCCUGACCCCUUCUCGAACUUAACCACAGACACAGACGUCCCUGUCCCCCUGUCCGCCGUGGAAAGCCAGCUGUGUGGCUUCAGGGAAGGGGGGUUAUGGGGAGGCUGUUGGUCUGCUCUCCCGGGGCCUGUGUCCUGCUUCAUUCUACUAGUGAUACAAGGACACGUGGCCCCUGAAAGGUCAGUAAUCCGGCCCCUUACACGCUGCCACCACUGUCACCGCCAAGCCAGGCAACAGCCGUCACCUCUUCACUGAUUCUGCCUGAAAGCUCACUCAAUCACUGCGACAUCUUUCAGAGGCCGACUCUGGCACAUCACUGCAGGGAGCCUCGUGAGGUCCAUCCCAAGGGCUUCCAAACGUCCAUCACUCUCAGGCCGCCUUCCCGAGAUGUCCUUUUAAGAAUGUGGGUUCCUCCCGCCUUGGAGGCUGAGCCAAGCCCUUCUCCGGGGCAACCACUCACGGACAGGCCCCCACCCGUGGACGAACAGUCUCCAGCCUACACGGUGAGAACAGCCCCGUCCAUCACAGCAAUUUCAGAGUCUCAAGUGCCUUUACGCCCAAGAGCCAAACCUGGCAGCCCACUGAGGUCUCCACACCCAAUCUCUCCUCCCUGCCACUUGAGGCCUCAAACAGUGGCCAGCACCCCAGGGCAGGCUCACCCAACUACAGGCUCUUGUCCAACGGCCUGGCCCUUGUCCCCCCACUGGGACCAUCCUGGGGUGGUCUCGCUGACUAGUUCCACCUGCUCCCGCGAAUCUCCAGGAAAAGCAUUUCCCACAGAAUGUCUAACGACUCCUAAAUGGCCAGCCUCUGAGGAGCCCGGAAAGCCGACCAGGGCUCAGCCUGGGACCACGGCUGGCCCCCUGGCAGCCGGCCGCUCCCCGCGCACAGAGAGCAUCCCGGCGGGGCAGCCCCACCAAGCACACGCCAGGGCUGCAGACACGCUGCUUUAGCUCGCAAGCAAACCAGGGCCUUGGCUCCAGGGCUCUCAGUUCAAAAGACAUCCUUGGGGAGCCCCCCCCCAGUGCUCACAGGGCUCCCCCUCCGCAGCAACCCCUCCUCCCACCGUAUGAUUUACUUUAUCAGAGUUGUAGUGAAGGCCGGCCCGGAAGCACGGCUGCGAGAACCCGCUCUGCACCCGACACCGCAUGGCCAGAGCACUUCCAUUCUCUCAAAGCUGGGCCAUCAUUCAUGUGCUUCUGCAGACCCGAAUGAAAUGCUGCUCACGCCUCACGCAACUUUCGGAGGAAUGGGAAUACUUCUAGACUUGUGAACUCAUGGAUUUUUUCUUUUUUUUUUAAGAAAUCAACACCAUCCCCAUCUAAGACGUUUUCCUGCC